AGAACUAUACUCUCAAGCAUCACAUUUCUACAGUUGUUUUUACUAGAGACGUGUCCUAAACAGGUAUAGAGCGCUGGAAACGGUGAUGUGAGGAAAGAGAGGCAGUGUUCUAUCCCCUGAUAGUGAAACUGGCUCUUCAUGUUGCUUCUUCCUGCAACUAUUUUGUCACUGAUGAGCUUUCUUUUCUUCCUUUUAGAGAGUGAGGAGAGAGUGGCUUCGUGAGAGUCGA
rnacentral:snoRNA from 1 species